rnacentral:rRNA from 1 species
AACGAACGCUGGCGGCAUGCCUAACACAUGCAAGUCGAACGAUCUCUUCGGAGAUAGUGGCGCACGGGUGCGUAACGCGUGGGAAUCUGCCCCUGGGUUCGGAAUAACAGUUAGAAAUGACUGCUAAUACCGGAUGAUGUCUUCGGACCAAAGAUUUAUCGCCCAGGGAUGAGCCCGCGUAGGAUUAGCUUGUUGGUGAGGUAAAGGCUCACCAAGGCGACGAUCCUUAGCUGGUCUGAGAGGAUGAUCAGCCACACUGGGACUGAGACACGGCCCAGACUCCUACGGGAGGCAGCAGUGGGGAAUAUUGGACAAUGGGCGAAAGCCUGAUCCAGCAAUGCCGCGUGAGUGAUGAAGGCCUUAGGGUUGUAAAGCUCUUUUACCCGGGAUGAUAAUGACAGUACCGGGAGGAUAAGCCCCGGCUAACUCCGUGCCAGCCGCCGCCGUAAUAC